rnacentral:rRNA from 1 species
GAUGAACGCUGGCGGCGUGCUUAACACAUGCAAGUUGAGCGAAGCGCUUACGACAGACCCUUCUGGGGCAGAUGUAAGGGACUGAGCGGCGGACGAGUGAGUAACGCGUGGGUAACCUGCCUCAUCCAGGGGGAUAACAGUUGGAAACGGCUGCUAAUACCGCAUAAGCGCACAGUAUCGCAUGAUACGCUGUGAAAAACUCCGGUGGUAUGAGAUGGACCCGCGUCUGAUUAGUUAGUUGGAGAGGUAACGGCCCACCAAGGCGGCGAUCAGGAGCCGGCAUGGGAGGGGGAACGGCCGGGAUGGGACUACGACACGGCCCAGACUCGUACGGGAGGGAGGAGUAGAGAAUAUUGCGGGAGGGGGGAAGCCCUGAUGCCGCGGCGCCGGGGAAAGGAAGAAGUAUGUCGGAAUCUAAACUCCUAUGAGCAGAGAAGAAAAUGACGGUACCUGAAGAAGAAGACCCGGCUAACUACGUG